AUAUAACCGGACGAAGCAACCGCAGAGUUAUCUCACUCGGCAACAAGAACAGCAACGACCAGCACUUGGAAGAACAAGUCAACUCGGCAAGCCGAAAGGACUUCAAAAGAAGAAUGUACCCGCCCAAAAUGGGGCUGAUGUACAGAAGGUACAUGCCCUCUAGCGCAACAUAGCGGCAAAUAUAUUUGACCGGAAUGCAAGACAAUCACUGUGAGAUCUUGUUGCGUCAUCGUGAUUACGUCAUCAUUGCCACGCAGUAUUAAGUUCCAGAGGACCUGACGGCGUUAAACAGCAAUCAAUACCUAAACACAAGCAUCGACAAUCGAAUGUACAGGAAAACCGCUUUGGACAAAUUUAGCAAAAAAAACUAUGUUUUAGCAAAUUCUAAGUGUGUAAAAAAUUUAAAAUCCAAAUUUUAUAAUUUAAAUUAUGUAAAAAAAAACAAAAAACGCAGGAAACCUAAGAAUGUAAAAUUUGUUUAUAUAGAAAAAUAGCAAAAAAUAUUGUUUUUGUGUUGUGACGUCAUCGCUACCACCACAUUCUUCAAUCGUCUGUUCGAAGUUCCAUCGUUGCUAAGCAACCAUGUAUACAUCUUCAAUUUACUGUUACGUCACAAUACCAUUUAUCCCGCAACGGUUGCGUCACUGUGAUAUCUAUUUUACAAGAAUCCGACAAAAUAUUUAAAUUAGUUUUAACUAGAAGUAAAGUGUCUAUUCCUGGGGAUAUUAUUAAUUUAAAGGGGGGUUUUAAGCAAUUUCAAAAUCGAAAUGUAAUUUUACCUGCUGUACAUUGCUCUCUUGUAUAUAAAGCUUAUUUUCACUGUGAUCCAUGCUGGGAAAUGUGCAAUAUUUCUUAUGCUGUAAAUAAAUCUGUAAAUAUUUUGGUGAAUAAAAUGAUAAAAAACGACAA